CAUCUUCCUCAACCAUUGUGUGGGCUGCCGGCGAGAGAAGCAAAGAAAUUACACAUCUGCGUCCAUUGGUGAAAGGUGCACGAACUCUGACUAUUCAUGUGUCUUUCCUUCCGAUUGGUGCAUGUUGCGUGAUAAUCUUUGUUUUGUACCUCGUUGUUUUUCUGUUUUACGAUUCUUGGCCGGAGAUUGAUACUCCCGGCCAUUUGCUUGGGUGAUAGAAGUUCAGUUUUCUUUAGAUUGGACGUACGUGACUUGAUGUUCUUGUGCUAAGCUUUAUUCUUAUCUUCGUAUCAUUUAGAGCCUUAAGUUACGUACUACUGGAAAUUGAUAAUCAUUGUGUUUCGUAUCUAUCCGUUUGUUAUUAACGGUGUCAACUUGUUCAUAUCUUGUAUUUCGGUUUGUUGAACCCUGCUGUGCCUUCAUUCACUUUUGUUCAACUGUGUUGUGUUUGGCAUCUCUUCGUUUAGUGCCUUCAUUCACGUUUGUUGAACCUCGUUGUGGUUGUCUUGUUUUCUUAAGUAUUUUGCUCGGGUUUGCUAUUGUGUUGCUGGUUAUUUUCAGUCCGUGCUUCCUUCCGGUGAAUUAUUCGUUUGGUUAAUUGGUUUGGGAGUGUCUUUGGCCUGCUGAGCACCCUCGUGUGUUCCUUGUUGCCGGAAACUCUCCCUUUCCGAGUGACCCUUUGGGUUUUCGACGGAAUAGAGCUUGGGACUGAUCGGAACUGGUAAAUUCCCUUGCCGGACAUCUCAACGGCUUGAAUCAUUUUACGGAUGCAUUAAUUACCUUGGCCGGCGUAUAAUUAGUGCUUGAGUGGCGUAUUAAUUACAGCCACUAUUCCAUCUUUGAAUUACGUGCAUGCAUGCAUUCAAAUUUCAAAUUUGCUCCAACAUGCACUAUUCCCCCUAGACUUAAUCGACAUUAUUUGAUUUGAGUGGGGAACAUAGCGCCACUACUUUAAUUGAAAAGUUCUUCAAUCUAGCUCCUAGGCCGUCUUUUUCUUUUACCUACUGAGUACGCCACUAUCCUAAGUGUGGACUGCAUGCGUUACAUUAAAGUGGGAAUAGUUGGCUGCAUGCGGUGUUUUACAUUGAGUGACAGCUUUAAUUAGCUUUGGUGGCGUAUUAAUUACAGCAACUAUUCCCUAUUUAAUUUACGUGCAUGCAUGCAUUCUAAUUUCAAAUUUACAAACUUCAACAUGCACUAUUCCAUCUUGAAUUAAUCGACAUUAUUUGGGUUGAGUGGGGAACAUAGAGCCGCUACUUUAGUUGUAAAGUCAUCUACUUUACUAAGUGGGGGACAUAAGGGAGGUGGGCUUUAAUGUGUUGUUUGAAUUUUGCUUCCCAAGACGUCACUUUCCUCUACAUGGACCGAUUUUAUUGACUUAGUGCUCUGCUACCUAUUGUUUGUCAUCAGAAUUCCAUUAACCGAGCAUAAGUGUGGCUACUUUAUUGAUUGCAUAAAAUCGUGCAUUUCAUUUUUACAUUGGGCGCCUCUUUUGUCCUGUAUUUAAUUUACCAAGGUAUACGUGGUUAGUGGAGGACUAGUGGACGACUAAUUGUCAAUCAAGACUUCCAUUAGCCGUGAUAUACUUAGUGUUAGUGGGAACAAAUAGGGUUAGCAUUAAUUCUUAAGGAAAACAUCUUUAACGAGCCCUAUUCAUUGAGUGUAUGGCUUCUUAAUUGAUUUACUUUAAUUACACAUACACUUGACCGAACCGUACCUGUUUUAUUUAAUAUUAUUAAANAAAAAAAAAUUCGUGUGUGGUUGUUUGGCUUGUGUCUCUUGUCAUUGAUAUGGCAGGUCCGUGGCCACCUUGAGUGGAACGGACCUGCCAUAUACAUGUAAGAAAUAGAUUCUUCGGCCUUGUUGUUUUCAUUUUCAGGAUUGGAAGGACGUCGUGCGCCCAGCAACGAAGGAAGCUCUGGACCAAAGUCCCCGAGGUGUCCAGCAUUUCAACGGACGUUGGGUUCCCAUGUACCUCAUGAGUUGAAUCCACUCUUCUCGGCUGAACCAUGUAUGAUCGGAGUAAACUGUACAGCACCAUCCUUGUACACCACGGGAGCCCAUCCAAGGGGCUUCCCAACUGUUUGCAGCAGUCCAACAUCUCAAGCAGCCGUACCACAGUUUUGUACAACAAAUGAAGACCACUGUCACUAGCUCCCCUGCUGAC
rnacentral:lncRNA from 1 species